CAUAGAUAUUCUUUAUAUGUUAUAGAAUGAAAAAAGAAAUUACUGAAUAAUAGAUAUACCCAUAUUUUGUUCACAAAUCCUGUGUUUAUAGAUACAGAUAUAGAUCCAUAUCUAGACUCACAGAUACAUGAUUUUUUUCUCUUUUUUUCCCGCUUUUUUGAGACAGGUCUUGCUAUUGUUUAGGCCAGCCUUGAACUCACUAUGUAGCCCAGGCUGGCCUCAAACUCGUGGCAGUCCUCUGCCUCAGCCUUCCAAGUGCUGGUAUUACAGGUGUGAGCCACGAAGUCCAGUUAUUUCAUUAUUUUCAUCAGCAGUUUUUUUAUUGCAAGUGACAUGGAACAUGUUUCCCAUGCUUGUUCUAUAUUUUCUUAUUUUGUGACUUGUCCUAUUCGUGUAGUUUAUUUACUUUUCUAGGAUUUUCAUAUUUUUCUUACAUAACUGUUUACAUAUGAAGUUAUGUCUGUGAUAUGUAUAUAAGGUAUUUUUCCAGGUUUGUUUUUUGACUUUUUGAUUUGUGUUUGUUUUCUUUCUUUCCCUGCCAGGGUCUUCCACUUUUUUUUUUUUUUUCACAUACUGUCUUAGUCCUUUGGUGCCGCCAUAACAAAACACCUGAGGUUGGGUAAUACAGAUUGAGGAUGUGAAUUAGAGGUACAGCAAAUGCUGAGCAUGUUUAAAGCCCUGGGUUCAAUCCCCAGCACCAAAAAAGAAAAAAAGAAAGAAGGAAGGAAGAAAAAAGGGAAAUAAAGAAGGAAAGAGAAAAAUUUUUUUAAAAAAAGAAAGAGAAAGGAAAGAAGACAGAUAGACAGACAUACUUAUUUUCUCACAGACCUAAAGGAUGAGAAGUUCAAGAUCAAGAUGCCAGCAGGUUUCAUGUCUGGUAAGAGCUGCUCUCUGCUUCCAAGAUGGUGCCUGGGAUCCUGUGUCUUCCACAGGAGAAGUGUGGUGAUCUCACAUGGCAGAAGAUGGAGGGGGUUAAAUGGGACUCACUCCUCUGUCAGACCCAUUACCCAGUCCCAUUCAUGAAAAAGGAGCCCUCAGGGCCUAAUCACUUUGUAGAGACCCCACCUUUUCUUACCAUCAUAUGAAGCAUCUGAAAUUUGGAGGGAACGCAUGUAAACAACAGCACAUGCUAGUUUCAUGGACUGAACUCGGGACCUUGCGGAACCACUGAGCUAAAUCCCCAGCCCUGAGGACUGUUUACUUUUAACAGUGUGACUAGCAUUUAGAUUUUGGUCUAAUUAUACUAAUGUAAAUAAGAGGGUAAAAUUGUGCUUUAAAAAGUUGGUAUUUUUUAGAGAUAAACUGUCCAAGCUUCCUCAUACUCAGGGAUAAACUUCCACCCUUCCUCUCCUCAGUUCAUAAAAAUGGACAAAAACUAAUGCCUCUGUCAGAAAAUAGCAUAUUGGUCCAGUGCGUUUUCUUAAGGGAGCGAAGUAGCCCAACAUGGGAGAAUUACAUGGGAUCGGAUGCCGCAAUCUCAUUGUUAACAGAUAUUACAUCUGUGGUGUAACAAACAGUUGCUAACUGCUGACACGUUUUGCACUAAAGUAAAAUACUGAGGUGUCUGUGUAUACAGUUUUAAGUGUCUCCCUAUAGAAUAAAAAGAGAUCAUUAUGAGAUGCUUGGUCAGGCCACUGAUUAGCUCUCUCCUGGUCUUCACAGGUCUGACCAUUUCCCAGUUGACAUUGCUAGGGAAAACUUGUAGGACUAGAAGAUGAACAGUGGAUUUUUCCCCCCACUGUUUAAUUUUUUCCACUGUUAGUAUUUAUGAAUUUAUUAUAUAAUGUAGCAAAUGAUGACUCAACCAGGAAGCAGCCUCUGUUCUCUCAACUCUUCCCAGGCUUGGGAAAAGGGGAAAAGAAAAGCAGAGGCAUUUAAAAAGAUUUUCUGGUAGCAGAAUACAGUGAUAAAGAGAAUAAAUUACAUCUGAUGUUUUAAAAAAGGGUCAAAUUGAGGGAUUUAAGAAUUGAUUUCCCUUAGUGAUGAGACAAAUAUAAAUAAUAGGUUGAGCAUUGUUUCUCUGGUGUGAGAAACUGAAUGCAAAAAUAAGAACUGAGAUGUAUAAUAGAUAUUGGGAAAUGGGAAGAGAGUGUUCAAAUGGGAAGGAGAGCAAGGGAGGAGGGAGGGAGAAAGGAAGGAAGGGAAAAGAAAAAAGUGAAAAUAGAAGGAAAAAAAUGGAAACAAAGCUUUUUUACAUAGGGAGGGGAGGGGCUUGAGGGCGGGAAUGGGAUAAAAUAAAAUUCAUUUUAAAAAAAGGUUGAGAGGGGCCAGGGAUUUAGCUCAGUGGUUCCACUGCCUGCCUUGCAAGCGCAAGGUCCCAAGUUUGAUCCCUGGUACCAAAAAUAAGUUGGGAGACAAAAAAAAUACUAGGUUGAGGUAUUAAAGUUUCUUUCAAACUCUCAAUGAUAGAGAUCAGGUGUUAAUAUCGUGGUUCCUGGUGUAUCUUGAGUGCCUUGCAGGUACCAUAGUAGGUGCUCAGUAAAUAGCAGUUAAAUGAAUGGAUGGAUAUUAAACACUUGUGACUCAUUAGCCUUCUGGAAAUACAAUAUUGUAAAAUCUUUAACAUAGUAAAUCUAAGUAAUUAGAUCCAAUAUUGAUGAGAAGGGACUUCCAGUGUGGAGGAGUGCAUUAUGAAAUUGAUUUUGUACUUGACAAAAAACAGCCCUGAUUAUUCCUUGGUCUCAAACUAAGUUGCCCUGAAAAAUCUAGAUGUGUCCAAUUAUCUUCUGUUGAAAGGUCAUGGCUUGGGCUGUCUAUGGCAAGUAAUUAUUAAUAAAGUUUUUAUUAGAAAAAUUCUAAGAUAAUUGCAUAAGUCUCCACCUUCCUCUCUUGGUGUAGAUAUAAUGUAAGGCAAAUGAAAAGAAAUCACACUAUAUAAACUGAUGCUGAUCUUCAGCCCAAGGUGACUUUUUUUUUUUACUGGGGAUUAAACUCAGGACCUUCAUACAAGCUAUAUCUCCAGCCCUUUUUUUUUUAUAGAAAAACAUUUAUUGGUACAUUUUUGGCAUACAUAAUGAUAACACUCGUCAUAGGGAAUUUGCACCUGUACACGAUACAUCCUGCCUCUUUUUUCCCCUUUCUCCUUCCCUCCAAGCCCCUUCCCCUCUCUAUGUACAAAAGCUUUGCAGGGUGAUUUUCUAAAAGUUUUCCUCUGAAUUAAUACAAAUUGAAAAAGUGGUUUGAAGAAUCUUUAAAAGUGAUUUAUUUAAAAAAUAUUAUUCUGAUUAAAACAACACUGAGAUUCCAUCUUGUCCCAGAAAGAAUGGCCAUCAUCAAGAAGUCAAAUAAUAACAAAUGCUGGUGAGGCUUUGGGGGAAAAAGGAAUGCUUCUACAUUGUUGGUGGCAAUGUAAACUAGUACAACCACUGUGAAAAUUGGUAUGGAUAUUCCUCAGAAAACUAAAAAUAGAAAUUCUCCUUCUGCUUAUCUUCCCAAAAGAGUUAAAGACAUCAUAUUACAGUGAUACAUGCAUACCCAUGUUUAUUGCAGCACAAUUCAUAAUGGCUAAAUCUUGGAAGUGGGCUAUAUACCCAUCAACAGAUGAAUGAAUAAAGAAAAUGUGGCAAUUAUGCACAAUGGAGUACUACUCUACCUUACAGAAGGAUAAACCUGAGUCAUUUAUAGGACAAUGGAUGCACCUUGAGACCAUGUUAAGUGAAGUAAAUCAGACACACAAGCUUAAAUAUUGCGUAGUAUCUUUUAUAAAAGAAACCCAAGAUAUAAAUAAAGAGCAAAUAAAGAGAUAAUAGGAAAUAGGGAGACAGAUCUUUUUCAGAUGGGAAGGGGAUCAAGUGAUGGAAGGGAGGGAAAGAGGAUGAAAAAAGAAUUGAUAUGCACAUGUACCAAUUCCCCACAAGGAGUGUAAUCAUGUAUUGCAAACAUGUACCCCCCCCAAAAAACCCCUGGAAAAAUAAAAAUAUCACUCCAAAAUUGACCCAGUUUGUUUUAUUUUGUUAAGACAACUGUUUAUCUUGCACUUCAAUUUACCCUUAAGUCUUUUAUGAUUUAUUUAGCAUAUUUGCAUUUAUUCCAAUUUAUGGCAUUGUUUAAUAUUAAAUAAAAGCUGUGAACUUGGCAUGAAAUAGUC
ensembl:lncRNA